AUGCUGCGCGCGGCGGGGAAGAGGCUGAUCGGCGCUGCGGGGAUCCGCCCAGCGGCCGCCGGAGACUCCCCCGGCGCGGCGAUGGCUGUGGCGGCGAGGAGGGGGUACCACGAGCGGGUGGUGGACCACUACACCAACCCACGCAACGUGGGGGCGUUCGACAAGGACGACGCCGACGUCGGCACGGGGCUCGUCGGCGCGCCCGCCUGCGGGGACGUCAUGAAGAUGCAGAUCCGCGUGGACCAGGCCUCCGGCAGGAUCGUCGACGCCUGCUUCAAGACCUUCGGCUGCGGCUCCGCCAUCGCAUCCUCCUCCGUCGCCACUGAGUGGGUGAAGGGAAAGCAGAUGGAGGAAGUGGUAGCGAUCAAGAACACAGAGAUCGCCAAGCAUCUGUCGCUGCCGCCGGUGAAGCUCCACUGCAGCAUGCUCGCCGAGGACGCCAUCAAGGCCGCAGUCAAGGACUACGAGGCCAAGAAGACGAAGCCGGCCAAGGCAGACGAGUAG
rnacentral:rRNA from 1 species